rnacentral:rRNA from 1 species
GUCAAGUCGGAUGUGAAAUCCCCGGGCUCAACCUGGGAACUGCAUUCGAAACUGGCAGGCUUGAGUCUUGUAGAGGGGGGUAGAAUUCCAGGUGUAGCGGUGAAAUGCGUAGAGAUCUGGAGGAAUACCGGUGGCGAAGGCGGCCCCCUGGACAAAGACUGACGCUCAGGUGCGAAAGCGUGGGGAGCAAACAGGAUUAGAUACCCUGGUAGUCCACGCCGUAAACGAUGUCUACUUGGAGGUUGUGCCCUUGAGGCGUGGCUUCCGGAGCUAACGCGUUAAGUAGACCGCCUGGGGAGUACGGCCGCAAGGUUAAAACUCAAAUGAAUUGACGGGGGCCCGCACAAGCGGUGGAGCAUGUGGUUUAAUUCGAUGCAACGCGAAGAACCUUACCUGGUCUUGACAUCCACAGAAGAAUCCAGAGAUGGAUUUGUGCCU